AAACCCUAAAGCACCAACCCCUAAAGCACCAACCCAUCCCCAACAAUAAAAUUACAUCUUACUGUCAAUUUGUCUUUGAAAUCUGACCACCAAUGUUUAUUUGUAAGUUCGGAAUGUAUGUUGUAAAGUUUGACUGCAGUUUGUUUUAAAGUUGGUUCUGUGAAAAUCGGGCUGAGUUGAAUUUAAAUGGUUCUUAUUUCCAGUCAAAAUAUGGGUCUCUAUUUACUUGUUUCUAUAUACACCUGUUGACUCUGGAUGGUCUUCAGAAUUAUCAAAUAAUGUACCUGCAUUAUAAAUGCUUUCUCCUUUAACUUAAUAGACUAAGUGUUCAUGCAUACUAAAAAACCAAACAUGGUGAAUUAUACUACAGGUAUAUACAAUAACUGUACCAGCCAGGGUGUUAAACCUGGCUUGUCCAAAAAAUACUGUGGGUGAUGUGUGGCAACUUACAUGGUGCUUGAAAUGAAUUGUCACAUGCUGACAAUUCAGCAUCUUUUCAACAAAAAUUAUCGAAACAUAUGAAGUAGAUAAUGUAAACAGCAGCUGACAACUUUUGAGGUAUUCACGAAAUAUCACAAAGCUUGCAAGUUGCUGUUUAAUAAAGAAAACAAUUUCUUAGGUCAUCCAUGGCCAUCUAGUUAAAAAGUGGCUGACGUCUAAUUUCAAGAGUGGCUGGUGCAAAAUGUACACUACUAUAACAAACAUAAUUUAAUUAUUAAUGUCAAUAAAUUUGAACAAAUAUGCUCAAGCAUUAAUUAAAUAUGAUACAGUACAUGUAUGCGGGGAUGGAUCCAGCAUGAUCUGGUAGGGGGGUGCUCUGGUGCCAACUGCUGAAUUAUGUCGGUCAUGUGUGCCGCCCACCCAUCAACUGCUGUAUUUGAAUUGUAAUUGUUCACAGUUCACUUAUCAUCAUGUUAUUACUCAAAUUAUUGUAUCUCAUUUUGUCUUUUUUGCUUUAUCAUAAAAAAUAGCACCCUCCUGCACCCCCUCUGGCCAGGGCUAGGGGGGUACACACCCCACACCCUCCCAGUAAAUCCAUCCCUGCAUGUAUGUGCACUUUCUAUAUUGUGCUCAGGCAUUUGGUGGAGCAUGUUGUUGGCCACGUUGAGGGAUCACAGCUCAAUUUGUAUUCACCAAUAACUUUCAGAAAGACAUCAUAAAGGACAAGAGAUACUAUAAUCUAUACUAGUAAUCCAUGCUAAAAUGUCUUCAUUCUUCAACAUCGUCAGUUGGCCCUGCCCUUGGAUAUUCAGGAAGAAGCCCUUUUUCAAUUCUAUAUCAACAUCUGAACUGCUGUAAUUAAAAAGGAACAUAGAAUUUUUCACUGAGAGAAAAUCUGAUCACUUUAUAAUGUGCUGUUCUUUUAAAAUCGUCUCUAUCACCAGACAAUUUCACUUGCCAAGGAGAUAGGCAUGCAUGUCAAGGAGAUGGGCAUGCAGGCUAGUAAUACCAGCCCAGAUAUAAAAUCUAUAAAAACAGGCAAAUAACUCCUAAGUCUUCUAAAUAGUCUUUCAAAGUAAUUUAACACUUACUGUAAAGAAAAAUGAUCCUAAUAUUGGGGGACUUUCAAAAUUCAUCGUGAAAAUCAAGCUUUGGUGGCGCAAUAUCUUCCCCAGAUAUUAGACGCCAUUUUGGCAAAGGUUGAAUUGAGUAUGGUCACUUCAAUGCCAAAUAUCUCGAAAACUCCCGGGGGAUCCCGGGGAUCCCUCCAGCAGAUUUUUAGUUUAGACAUUUGUCUUGAUUUUUUUGCAAAAAUUACGAAAAUCGAACCAUGGGAAUUCCAGAUUUUUUAGUUUGAAAAUUGUAAACAGACUCGGACUUGAGUCAUCACGUUGCCAAGGCAUGACCAACUUUAAUCAUCGAAAACAGGUUAAAAAAUAACGUUUACCUCAGAAAUUCUUGCACAUAUCGCCAGUCCUUUUAUAAUACUAAGGCCACGGUUGCAUUUUGAUAGAAAAAUAUGAAUAUUUAUAUAUAUUUUUUGAGUUCUUCUGUGUCCAAUGCAAAUUAGAAGGCCAAAAUUAUUCGCCAACACGAUGGAAAAUAGAGCGAUCUCAUUGGUCGAGAGCUCACGUGACAACUCGCUAAUUAGCUGUCCAACCUCCUCUGCUGU
rnacentral:lncRNA from 1 species